CCAGUACAGACCCUUGAGUGACAUCACUCAUUACUGGUUUCCACUUGGAUAUGGAGUUGGAUUAUUAACUCUUUGGACAUAACCAUCCAGCAAUUCCUUAUCCAUCUAACAGUCAUCCAUCAAACCCGUAUCUCUCCAGUUUAGUGGCAAGAAUGUUGUGGAGGACCAUAUCAAGGGCCUUACAGAAGUCCAGGUAGAUGACAUCCUGUAGUUCCUCCUGUGUCCACUGAUGCAGACAUUCCAUUGCAGAAGGCCACCGGAUUAGUCAGGUCUCAGGUGCUUCAAUUUUAUUACCGUACAUAAAAUGUUCUUUUCUUCCACAUUUCUACUUUGCCUCCUGCCUACAACCUCAAGAAAAGGUUGGAGCUUGAAGUGCAGAGUGAAGCUUUAUGGCCUUGAUUUUGGAAGAGCUCAGAUUAGACAGUUUUCAAUUAUUUCUUCUAGAACUGAACAGACACUGGACAGCGUUUCCAAUAGCGAUUGGUCCUGUUCAGUCAGAGAAGAAUUGGAAAUGCAGAGAUGGAUGGAGUUCCCUGCUGGGUUUGAGUGUUCACAGGGUAGCUGUGGCCAGACUGUACCGAAGAGAGUUACUAAGAUAAAUUGCUCCAUAGUUCUGCACCUGGGCACUGUCUGUGAGAGUGCUAGUUGUUGUGGGCCAGUGUGAAGGACAACUAUGCUAACAAAUAAUUCGGAUGAUACUAGGGAAAACUCUUAAAAUCUAGUUUGGAAGAGUCUUUGAAGAAUCUAGAGAUUGUUAAAAGCAGAUGUCACAGCUGUCUUGAGUAUAGCGAGAAGGAGGAAGAGGAACUCUCCUGAGAAGCCUGACAGUUUGCAAGAAAGAAGUUGGUACUAAGCUGUGAGCCCCAAGUUCCCACAGAUUUUGCAUGUGUGUCUCUCCAGGUGAAGAAUUAUGUGAGGCACUUGGAAUUACGUGUUUGACCUCCUUUAUUAUGUUUUCUCUAGUAUCGCAUUAGGCAAUGACAAGUAAAAACCUGGACUGGGUUGCUGAAGACGUAUUAGACACUGAGAGGACAAGUGAGAUUAGGAGAAUAGCCCUCUGACCUUUAGAAAGAAACAGCUGUCACUUCCAGAAGCAUCCUGCUUUGCUGUCAAGUUUCAAGAAAAACAUUGAAUACAGGUACAGCGUCAUUUGAAGAAAUACAAAUAAGGAAUAAUGUGGAGUAAUUGAACACUGAGCAAAUCCACUUGAAAACACUUGUUAGCAAGUCAGUCAAUAAAAUGUUCCACACACUUCCAUUUGAGGAGCUUCUUACUUUAUGUGUUAUAUGCUGUCUUGCUUAGACAAUGCUAUGUAAUGGUGCAUGCCUUUAAUCUUUAACAUAAAGAUUCCUUCCCCAGUAAAAUCCACAUUAAGUACCUCAAAGUUACUUUUGGAAAUAAUUCCAGCUUCUAAGUAAUUUAUGAACUUUAUGUAGUUAGCACUUUUGGGGGGGCAUACUUUUUUUCACUUGAGUGUGAUUAAUUUGUUAAAGUUGAUUGCCUGAUACUUGUGCUUGGUUUUCACCAGUUUAUUAGUAGUUAAGAAUGGUAUCUGACUUGACUGUAUUUGUAUAUUGAGAGAACACAUGCAAAUGCUGCAUAUGAUGUGAAAUUUUCAGGUGUGUGCUAUGUUGUAAAUCCUUGCUUAUAUAGCACUAGAAACUUCUAAUGUGCAAGGAAGAGCCCCAUUUCAAAUACUGCUUUACUAUUCAGUACCUACUACGUAGAAAUUGAUGAGCUUUUAUUCAUGCUGAUUUCUUUCUGUUAAGCAUAAGUUUGUAAUUGUUAGAGGUUCCCUCCUCAUUCUGAAAACAAUCACGGGAGUUCACUCAUAUGAAGAAGAGAAAUACAGGAUUUUGCAGGGAAAGGAACAAAAUGAGAACAUAGCCCAGAGCUUUUAGGCCAGCACCCAGUCCUUUAACUCGGUCUGAUUCAAGUUGGUUUGCCUCUGUAGCUAUUUUCGCCCCUUCCUCUCUACUCUAAUUUUAUGCUGUUGCAGGAGGGACAGAUAUUACUGUGUGAGACGCAGUGCCCACUAUGUGUUCAUGCAACACCAUCAUGAUACAUGUAAUUUGUAUUAUUCACGUUUGUGGCCAUGCAACAUGAAGGAGCGCAAAAUAAUCCUCUGGAGUGCUACAGUUGUCAGCCAUUUUGUUAUAUUUUGUUCUGUUCUGUAGCCUGAAUCCAGCCAUCAACUUUAUUUCUGUUCUUAAAGGGAAAAUUAUCAUGUUCAUUUUACAGGAUUAAAAAGAUUUAUUGGGUCUUCCUGUAAAACUGCAGUGUAGAAUUUGUUGUGAACAAAAUAGAGCUGACUCCAUUGACUAUAGCAGAAUAAUUUGCAGCCAGAAUUGAAUUGUGCUCUUAAAAUCUAAUUUUAACAAGGUUUUCAGAAAUAGGCCGCAGUAGCUUGAUUUUUGUUCUACCUGUAUUUUGAAUUUUAGGGAAAACCUAACCUUAGAGUGUUAAUGCAGUUGUAGCAUACGGAUAUGGAAUAGAAAUGUGUUUUCAUGGAAACCCAAUUUAAGUUACUGUGUUGAACCACUCAACACAGCUGGAUUCUUCAUUCAGAUUCUCUGUAAAUUCCUGAUCUCAACAUAAUUCAAACACACAAUUCUCGCAGACUUUUUCUUUGAAGCCCUUGCAGGACUAAUCCAAAUAGGAGGUGCAAUAGAAAGCUCCACUGUAUUAUAAGACUGGAGUUUAUCUAAUGACUUCAGCAUCCACAGAGUGUAAAUCACAUGAGUUCUUUUCUUGUCUAAACUAUUUUGAACAAGGUCUCUUUUACAUGCUAGUUUGGCAAGCUUCUAAGGCAUUUGUGCAAAGUGAUGAUGCAAGAGCAACCUGAUUCAACACUGAGAAAUUCAUAAAUAACAUCCAGCAGUAAUUAAAGAGAAAAACUACAGCUAAGAAAAGCAAUCACCCUACAGUAUCAGUUGAGCUACUAUACUCUGCAGUGUCAAAAGUGGAAUAUGUUUACUGGUGCCUUCAACUCAGGAGGUAUCGUUGUGAAUUUUAAAUAUACCAAGGAUUCAUUCUGAUUUUUACAUAGAUCGAAUUGGAUUAACAGUGAUUAAAAACCCAUGAAUAUAUAUGUAGAGAAAGGAUAAGAGUGGAAGAAAAACCACAGUGCCAGAAAUUACCAUCUGGAAACAUACUAUACAUGUAGCCAGUAUUUUUGUAUUAAAAUGAAGUUAACCUUGAAGUCCAAAAUGGUUUUAAGAUAACUUAGCAUGCUCUAUAAGGCCAUUCUCAGGAGUCAAGUGCAUGAUAUUCAAGAUGGGGAUAUUUAUAAAGGACUUCAGUUUGAAGAACUGGAAUAGCCAGCUGAUGUCUUUACCAUCUUGAUGAGAAAGUCUGUGCUAUUUUCAGUAAGUACACACUAAAGUCACAAAAAAACCCUAUAAAUUCUUUGUCUGGAUUUCUCCUUAGAUUAGGGUUAAAUGGCAGGUAACGUUCACACAGAGCUUAGUUGUUCAGUUUUUAUGUAUGCAAAACUCAACAAAGUAGCAGAAUUUAGGUAGCUGGUAGUAUAGCAAAUAAUGGGUAUGUCUUAAAAGUAGCAUUCUGAGGCUUUUUUACUAGUUUAGCAAGCUCUCCUCUGAACGACCUGCAGAGCCUGGAUUUACCAGAAGGAACACUUGGCCCUGUAUUGUGUAAAACUUUGUUCAGCACAGCCUCAAAAGUCAGUUCAAAGAUGCUUUUUUUUUGAAAAAGGUGAGCAGGAAAAAACUGGACAAAAAUUUAGUUCCUAUCAGGGUACAGCUGUGGUUGUUCUGCUGUGGCACACAAUCCAUGCUUUUCUGGUCUUCAAAGAGAAGGUGAGAGUAGUUGUGGAUACUAGUUCAUGCUUCAGGCAGAAAAAAGUGGUAGCUGGCCCAAAGCAGCUUGAGACUUACAUGUGAGAUUUGUAAAGUGGCCACUGUGUUGUGUUCUUCACCCUGUGGCUACAGGAAUUUUUGUGGUUAUGCUUUUGAUAUCAGCCAGAUGUUGGGGGAAUUCACAUUUUAUUUAUUUUUACACCUUGGCAGGACACAAUAAUUCAGCUGUGUUGUGGAUUAGUUGAUAAUGAAGACAGGAAUAAUUUGUGAAAUUUAGUUCUAGAACAGGGCUUGGCUAAAAAUGCUCAGGAUUAGAUGUGCUUUUGGUUUGGACCAACAUCUUUCACUCAUUUUUUGUCUUUUUGUGACUCUAGUUUUAGGUACUAACCUGUAAACAUCACAAUAUGUAGUCUUACUUAGGAAGUUCGCUGUAUGCCUCAGUAGUAGAUACAAGAUCUUUAGCAGGACUUCACAUGAGGAACAGUUAAACAAAAGCUUGUAUGAAUAAGGCACUAGUAAAUGUUUGCAGCAAACAACAAUUACAGUCUAUACUUUAAGAAUAAAGCCGUUCUGUUUAGGAAAUUGCCUUUAAUAUGACAGAGUUACCAAUGCCAGUUAGAAGGGGCUUAGAUAAAGUGCAUCUUUUGGAUUAUGUCUGUGAGGUCUGUGAGAAACCACUGAAUGCAAAUCCCUCUUAAGUUUGGAAAUAGCCUGUGCAAUGGUGAUACUCAGGAGAGCUAAAGGAAGAUGAAACUGGUCUAGAUUCUGAUCCCUGCUAAACCAACGUGAAAUCACUGUAAUGGAUUUGCUCCAGAUUUAUUUACGUUGGUAGAAGGAUCUGAAGCCAGAAUUGAGGCUGCUGUGGCAAAUCUAGUUAAACAGGAACAGUGCAAACCCAAAACAAAUAAUUGGGUAUAAUUGCCUUAAACAGCCUCAAAGAAGAAUCUGGUAUUUUUAAUUUCCUGCUUGCUGAAGUCCAAGGAUGCACUUUGUCUUUUUGUGAAUGUAACAGACCAAAGCCUUCUGUACUACUUUGGAGCUGCUGCCAUUCUAAACAGUUACUAAAAUAUCAAUCCAUACUUUAUACCAAAUGAAACUCGAGUCUGCCAGUCUGUUUGUAGGAUGGCUGGUUACUAUUUUGCAUUAAAAGUUGUUCAAAAAACCCCAAACUCUUCCAUUCAUAAAACCAGAACAUACUGCCACUUUUAAAAUGUACUUUUACGUAUCAGCUCUUUUGGGGGGGGUCACUGAAGCACCAGAAUUUGUUUAUCAAGUCAGUAAGAAUGCAUCUGUAAACUAAUGGAUCUGGUUAAUAUUCAUGAUUGUAUUUCCCUAGGAUUUGUCCAGUAAAACUACUACGUCUGAAUCAUUCAUUUGGUAUACUAAAUGGAAGGUCAGUGGUAACUCCACAGUCUGAUUUAAUCACUAAGUCCUGCUUUGUAAACAGACAGCUUAGCUCUAUCAUCUGACAAAUUUCUGUUCCACUCAGAUCCUCCAUUAUUUGUACAAGAUGUCAUUUAAAAAACUUUUCACGUGUUUCUAGUAUUCAGAGGGAAAAAAAAUCACAUUGAUUCAUUCUUGUAUAUUAUUGCCAUCAGGUGCUACAACAAUUAACAACUCUGGACAGUGGGGUUUUUUUGUUUGCUUGGGGUUUUUGUAUCUUAUGUAAGGACUUGAUAUUAAGUUUAUCUCAAGCUUUAAGAUCACCCAUCUGUGGGGACCUCAGAAGCUUUACAAAUAUCUCAAUCAGCUUUUAAAAAUGUGGGGUUUUUGUUUGUUUGGUUUGGGUUUUUUUUAGCUUUGAUUCAUAAGACUAAAUUCAUUGGUGGUAUAACUUGGCUGAAUUUUUCACCAGAAAUUAAUCUGGGCUAGUAUUUAUUUCUUAAACAAAACAAAAAAACCCAACAAGUAAAUUAAGUGCUGGGGAUCUCUCUCCCAUACUUGCUAUACAUAUUCUAAAUUAUAUACAGAAGGAAGAAAAUACAGAAAAUUCUCUUCACAAAGAUCUUUUUCCUUCAUAGCAACUCAGGAAACUCUAUUUAGAUAUGUUUCCUGUAUGAAUGUCAGAAUAUAUGCUUUUCUCUGUGUGUGGAGGCUAAUAAAUGGCAUGUAUUUAUCUGAAUAAUAGAAAAUGUUAAUAAGCAUUAGAGCUGUGCAGAAUCCUUUCUGUAAAAGUUGAUAACUUUAAAAAUUUGUUAUGUCAUUUUCAGUAAGAUGAUGUAAAUCUUGGCAAUUGCAAAAGAAACAAACAUUCUUUGUCAAAAGUGUGCCUUUUGUGGUCAUAACUAGUUUUGUGGUGUCUCUCUAGCUGGCAAUUUGAAGUUGUGCAUAUGUUACCUUAUUAGAAUUUCCUCAGCUGUGCUUACUUUAAAAUAAAUUUGAACUUUUUUUUUAA